UUUUUAUUUAUCGAUUAUUAUAAUAAUGUUUCAUGUUUGUGACUAUCGCGUUAGCCAGAAGUCAUAACUCAUCAAAAUACACAAUGUUCACAUAUCAUAUACCUCUAACAAGUAACAACCCAAGUGGCUAAGUAUAUAUAAAAUUAUAACGCUGUUGUCGAGUUGAUAGGAUAUCUAUAUAAAAACUACUUACAGAACUUUAACAUAAAUCCAUUAAAUUCAAUUUUCCAAGGAUUCUGUGACCAUCAGCUUUAUUUAAAGCGGAAAUUGAAAUCGCGGUACUUUAUCAUUAUCAGUGCAAACUAUGUUCAAUGUCGUGUUUCCAGCAAGUUUCCUGACCAACAGGCACUAGCGUUGUAACAACAAAGAGCAAAUAUUUUUUCUUAAGCUACAGAAUUUCAACAAAGAAGUUUAGACAAAGGCUUGUUUGCACUGUUUAAC